GGCAGGUGUGAGCUGCCAUGUGAGUGCUGGGAAUUGAACCUGGGUCCUAUGGAAGAGCAGCCAGUGCUCUUAACCUCUGAGCCAUCUCUCUAGCCCCUUGUUCGGGUAAUUUAUUACAGCAAUAUUAGGUAAACUAGAACAGAGACCCUGCAUUGGGUGGGAUCUCCAGGCUCUAGUCUCAGAGUGGGCUUAGGGUACUUCGGGCUUGCCAGGGAGCAGAAUGCCCUGCUAGGCCUGUAGAAGAUCCCGGAGCCUCAGAUCCAGGGUUAGAGAGAAGAAUUCUCCAAGAGCAACCUGCCAUGCUGCCAAACCAGGUACCCAGCCUGGCUGGGCUUCUGCAAGGGGUGUGUGUGUGUGUGUGUGUGUGUGUGUGUGUGUGUGUGUGUGUGUGUUGCUCUGGGCCCCAGAAGGCUCACUCUGGCCUUCCUGUCUCUCCUCCUCUGGCUGGUUACCCUCCCUCUCUCUUUCUCCAGCAUGCUAUGGAAGUCACUGAGGGCAUACUAAUGACAGCUCUGUGUAUCACCGCUCAGGCUCCGUGUAGAGGGUGCCCAAGCCACCAUUUCCACAGGACACUGAGAUUCAGCCACUCCUGCAUUGAGAGGAGGAGCCUAGACUCAAACCUAGGGCCGUUGUGGCUGCACAAACAGCUUCCCCAUGGCUUGGGUACUAGCCCAGUGUCUGAUGCCAUCAAGAUCUGACUCCUAGCCAGACCCUGACUCUGACCUCUAUGUUGGUUGGGCAAGGCUUCUCCACGCUUUGGGAAAAGAGUCACCUUUACACUCAGCCAGCUGUGGGAAGGCAUAAAGAGCAACGUCAGUUUUGCUUGAUGUGGCAUUGGUUGCCAAGGAUACCCCCCAUCCUGUCAUUUCUAUAAGCCAUGUCUCAGCACAUCCUGGGGUUCCAAUCUCUACUGAGAAGAAACUUCUGUUACAAUUUUUGCCUCCGCAGAAGGCUGUGUUUACAAUAAUUAGUUUCCUGAAAAAGUUGUCUUCGUCAUCCUGCUUCCCUAUUGAGUAUUAUGAGUUAACAGAAACUAUCUAACACCUCCACCUUUUCGGUUGGUGCCCAUGCAUUUCCAGCAGUUACCUUCAGUCUGGGUAAAUGUUGACAUCUGUGUACAGUACCCAGCUUUUAAAAUACCUCAUCCGGGGGCCGAGAAGAUGGUGCAGUGGUUAAGGGUGCACAUUGCUCUUGCAGAAGAUUUACAUUUGGUUCCCAACACUCACAUGGAAUGACUCACAACUGCCUGCGACUCCAGAUGCAGGCAAUGCAAUACCUCUGGCCUUUGAGGGCCAAUACAUUUGCAUGCAUGUACUUCUCUCUCUCUCUCUCUCUCUCUCUCUCUCUCUCUCUCUCUCUCUCUCUCUCUCUCUCUCUCUCUCUCUCUCUCUCUCUCUCUCUCGCUCUCUCUCCCCCUCUCUCUGUCACACACACACACACACACACACACACACACACACACACAUAAUUAAAACAUGAUAAAAAUAAACCUUUAAAGAAGCCUGUCUGCCCAGGGCCCAGGACUGUCUUGAAACUCUUGGAGCACGAAAUGUCUCAUUUUACAGCAAAAGAGACUAGGACCCAAGCUGUCCUUGUCCAGGGGCCAGGCUGGCACUGAGCCCUGGCCUAUAGUCUCCUGGCAGCCAGAUGAGCUGAUGUCCCUGCCAAGCAGCUCCAGGAGUAUGGCCUAUGGUUAGCCAUUGCCUGUCUAGGUCCUGACUUAUGGAGACUGAGACAUGUUGUUUUUGUGAUGAAGUCACCUGGGAACUGAGAGGCCCCUCUGGGUUAGAGGUGGGCAGCCCUCUGCCACUUGGUCUUGGCACCCACUCUCACCCUCAGUUUCUGAAUCUGUGGAAUAGGUUACCAGAAAAUCCCUUUCGAGAAUUAGAGCCGCUUGAGCAGAGGGAGCUUCCCUGGUCAGCUCUGUAGGAGCCUCAGUGCCAAUUUCCUACUUCCUGAAGACUUCACGCGGCCACUGAGCUUUACUCUGGACAGAAUUCUUCUUUCCCGUUUGGCAGUGGAGGUGGGAACCUUGGUUUCUCUAACAGGAAAGCAACAGAAAUACAGUGCUGAUUUAUGCCAAGAGAAGCCACUGUGCUCUGGCCAAGCUGGGUUCCCAGCCAGGCUGACUGUAAGUCAUCACAUAGUGGAGCUGGUGAGGGAGUGAGCCACAGAGACUGAGGGAGGAAGCCCAGAGUGUCAGGGAAAUUUGCUCAAGAGAGAGAGACAGAAUGAAGCAAAGAAGAGUUGUGAAUUUUUUUUUAUGAGUAACCCAGAAAAGUGGGCAGGCUUAACCCUGCUACCUGGCUGCUCUGUAAUCUACUGUUGAGUUUUUAAUUUUAAAUUAAUCGACCUUAUGUUGUGAGAUAUGCAGAACUUCCAGCCUCAGCCAGGGGAAGAAGAGGAGAUAAUUGAGGCCAAUUGAGAGAUGCCAAGGAGACAUGGAGGGAGUCGGACAUACAUAAUGAAAGAAAAGUAAAAAGCCAUGAGGCAAAAUGUAGAUUAAUAUAAAUGGGAUAAUUUAAGUUAUAAGAGCUAGUGUGACAAGCCCAAGCUAAGGCCGAGCAUUCAUAGUUAAUAAUAAGUCUCUGUCAUUAGCUGUGAACUGACAGCCCAAAGAAAAUCCCUCUCCAGCCUUAUGCUGUACUGGUGCAUGCAGAACCAGUGCAUUAAAACUUUGAAAAAUGUCUUAAAUUAGGAAUAUUUUAAACAAGUGUUUUGCAGUUUAACCAGGUGACCUUGGACCUUCCGAGGGUGUUGGGUUUCUGGAUUUACAGGUGGGGCUCUAAGCCAACACACCUGCAGGUGCUUGUGGGAAUUUGUCUUUUGAGUUUGGAUUACUAAGAAUGACCACACGGGCAGAAGCUUUAGAAAUACUGAGUUUCCAGUAAGAGUGCAAAUCCUCUUAUUUGUCAGAAGUGAGGGGUGCCAAGCCUACAGGGUGUGGGUUUGUACUUUUAUGUAACUUGAGGCUACUCUGUAGCCCUAGGGUCUGGGCUGCCCCCCUGGAUCAGCAGCCUUUGUGGCCCCAGGCACCUCCGUUGUGGAAAGCAACAAUGUUGUUACUGGUUUGAAGAGUCGUCAAAAUUGUCACAUGGUUUUCUUAUAUUUUAAAAGAAACUAGGAAACAAAACUUGGUCGAGGCUGGGUCCAGUCUAGGGCAGUAGUGGGGCACGCCUUUAAUCCCAGCUCUGGGAGGCAGAGGUAGGCGGAUCUCUGAGUUCAAGGCCAGCCUGGUCUACAAAGAGUGCCUGCCAGGACAGGUGGGGCUACACAGAGAAAGACUGUCUCCCAUACAACCCCCUAAAAAUUGAUAAUGGACAAUGGAUUUAGUUUGGUCAAAUUGAAGAAGGAGAGGAGGGGCCAGUCUAAUCUCUCCCCCAUGAAAGGUAGGUGUGGUGGUUUGAAUAGAUAUGGUCCCCGUAGACUCAUGUGUUUGAAUGCUCGAUCUAUAGAGAGUGGUACUAUUAGGAGGUGUGGCCUUGUUGGAGGAAGUGUGUCACUGUGGGGGUGGGGUUUGAGGCCUCAGAGGCUCAGUCUGUGCCCAGUGUGGGACACAGUGUUUCCUUCUGCUGCCUGCAGAUCAAGAUGUAGAACUCUCAGCUACCUCUCCAGCACCAUAUCGGCCUGCACGCCACCUUGCUACCUGCCAUGAAGAUAAUGAAUUCUACCUCUAACACUGUGGAGUGUGCAGGCGUCCUUGUCAUCCGGGUCAGCUUCAGGAUCUGGACUUAAGGGCCCAGUCAGGAUCCCUGACCCUCAACUCUCUGACCUGUUGAGGUGACACUGGCCUGCAAUCCCAGCAUUGUGGAGGUGGAAGCAGGAGGAUCAGAAAUUCAAGGUUAUCCUGGGCUACAUCAUGAGUUCAAGCAUCGUGAGUUCAAGGCCAUCCUGCAUGACAGGGGACCCUGUCCCAACAGAACAAGCCAAAAGCCCCACAAGUUUGAAGGAGAAUUAAAGGAAGAGGGGCAGUGAUCUGGCCAUUGAGGAGGGGCUCAAGUGUGGAGUCCAUGCUGCUCAGCAAUAGCAGCUUCUUGGUGCCCAUUUCAAUCCACACUGCAGCAGUCCCAGCACUCAGGAAGCAGAGGAGGCGGGAGGACCAGGAAGUUUGGAUUUCAGGCCAACCUGGGCUACAUGAGACCUGUCUUUAAAAACAAAACACAAAAAUCAACAAAAAUAA